rnacentral:tRNA from 1 species
GGGAUUGUGGCUCAGUGGUAGAGCGCUCCCCUAACACGGGUGGGAUCUGGGUUCGAUCCUCAGCACCA